rnacentral:rRNA from 1 species
CCCUUAGAUGUUCUGGGCCGCACGCGCGCUACACUGGUGCAUUCAACGAGCCUAUCCUUGACCGACAGGUCCGGGUAAUCUUUGAAUCUGCAUCGUGACGGGGAUAGAUUAUUGCAAUUAUUAAUCUUCAACGAGGAAUGCCUAGUAGGCGCAAGUCAUCAGCUUGCGUCGAUUACGUCCCUGCCCUUUGUACACACCGCCCGUCGCUCCUACCGAUUGGGUGUGCUGGUGAAAUGUUCGGAUCGGCCGUUUGUCGCGGUUUCCGCGUCAUGUGGCUGAGAAGUUCAUUAAACCCUCCCACCUAGAGGAAGGAGAAGUCGUAACA